AGGUGGGGAGCGCACGGUGCGACAGCUGGACGUGUGAGGUAGGCUGAAUGUAUCAGGGCCGAUGAUCCGCUAGUUGCUGUUCCGCGGCCAUCGAGCGCCAGAAGCGGGCUGCUGCUGUGCCUCGUGCCUCAGCUUCCCUACAUCCAUCCUCCUCUCUCUUUCUCUCGCUCUCCCGGCGGCGGUCGUCAGACUCCAGCGGCGCCGAGCGCAAGCCAACAUCGCGUGUGCGCAUGCUUCGCACGUGCCUUUCUACACUCCCACCCCCUACUACCACCACCACCAUAACCAUCAUCACACCCACCUACACCACCACCACCACCCCCAACCGGCAGCUGCGACAAGAGCUCCGUCAGUAUGCCGACGUCUGCUCGGCAGCAACAUAUGCGUGGACCUUACAGCGGACCCCACAGGUGUGGUCUACCCUCCAGCCGGUACCUAGGGACAGAUCGGCGAGGAAUAUUCGCGCGUGGACGGCGCACGUGAGAGAGCGCGGUGUGGUGACUGUGAGAGGCGGGCUCUCACUAUGUCAGUGCUUUGCAGGCGUCGAGCCCUGACUUCGGCGAGCGCGUGCGACUCUAGCGCCCACCAGUCGUUCGCUGCUCCACGUUCGCACCUUUAACAGGUGUUGCGAGAUGUGUCCGCCUUGUACCUGAGUGCAUCUUUCAGGUGGGAUAAAUCUGUGCACCUGCGAAUUCUGAAGUCGAAGUGAAAUAUGCAAAGGGAGAAGCGGUAACAGGCACCACAGCAGUAGCAACAGAAACUGUUGGCACGGUUCUCCCAGUAAUACCCUGUCUCGCUCACAGAGGAAUCUUUCUGAAAAAAAAAAAAAAAAUCAGAAAAAAGCAUUCUUGUGUCUGUCGGCGCAUUUCAUACCAACAGUGGCACCGAAUCCCACAAGUACCAACCCCGUCAUUCCUUUGCAGGGUGUCUAGAAGGAAGGCAGGAAAGGGGGUAGAUAGAUAGAGAGAAGGGGGGCAGAAGGUAAGGUUGUGAGAGGCUCACGAGCUCGUCACCAGCAAGACCAACAUGAAGUUUUGUGAAACGUGCGGUUCAGAUGACUGGGCGCGCGGAACGCAAGUGGUGGGCAGGUGAAAGCUCGUUUCCGCAGACCUCUGCGUUUACCAAGGGAAGGCAGUGUAUGUGUGUGUGUGUGUGUGUGCGUGCGUGUGUUGCCAGUCUUCCCAUCUUCGCAAUGUUGUGACCUUAUCAGGAAUCGAUCGUGACUCAAUGUUUUUGUGUUGUGCCUCGGCAAAUGUCAAAGGAGUGAAUUGUAAGUGCGGUGGUAGUCACACUACACACUUCUGCAACGUGUAACUCGAAAUUUCAUCUAAAUAGUUGGAUGAGAGUCGAUGCAUGUCUUCAAAUCUGAAGAAAAGUUAUUUGAUGACCAGCAAACUAGGUGUUGAUACAUCAAGACAUCUGUGAAGUGUAAUUGCGACAAUCCCUGCUUGUGUGCACUGACAGAGUGGAAAGUUCCUCCUUGUCAACAUCCUCGAUGUGACAUCUACCAGAGAAAAAUAAUUCUCUUUUCCACAGCCAAAGUAAAAGAAAAUAAAACUUCCAAAGAAGCGAUUGUUCAAUUCAUCAGCCAAAGCUGUGCGCACGGCUUCUGAUGUCAGAGGUUGAUGUUGUUGUUGUGUGGUGACGUAGGAACUACAUCGAGGAUUCGUCGUCGUGGGCGAGGAGGCGGCAGUCGUCAAGGCGAGGGAUGAUAAUCUGCCUUGGCGAGCUCGAGGCAGCGAGCAGAAGGUUCUCGCGGGUCUCCCAGUGAUGAGCGUGGCACGAAGGGGGCUGACGUCACAACUGCGCGUGCGCCACCUGAUCACGUGCCUGGCCGCCGCUCUUCUGUGCCUGAUAGAGCCUGUCUAUUUGUACGACCCUUGGAGCCUGACACUCCUCCACCUGUGUUUCUGGAAGGACCUGAGGAAAUCACGGUGCAGGAAGGUGACAGGGCUGUUCUGCCUUGCAGAGUUAAGGACCUGGGAACAAAGCAGGUGACGUGGAAGCGAAUGGAUCAGGACCACUUUAUAGCCAUUGGGGACGUGAAAUGGGUGCAGGACGAGGCCCUGUUCGUGGACCACAGAACCAACCAGCUGGCCGAUCUGACGUCAUCGGAUCUCAUCUUCGACCCGGUGAGGCCCUGACCAUUCUGGGGUGUACGAGUGUCAGAUCUCGGCAAAACAAAAAUACAGUAGAUACGUCACACUCAGAGUUAUAGGACCCCCAAUCAGGAAAGCCGGGAAACCAGGCCUGGUGCUGAAGGGAGAAAAGUAUGUGAACCUCGGGGACAAGAUCUCCCUCACGUGCACAGCACACACAGGGCCCUCGGAACACCAGGACAUCGACUGGUUUAAGGACGGCGACAAGAUGGUGUCGGGGGCGAAGAAAGGACUUCUUAUCACCAAACACAACCCUCCCAUGACGAAAGCCCUUGUCAGCGAGCUCACCAUCGACCGCAGCAGAGUGUCGGACACCGGCACCUACAUCUGCCGCAGCGCCACUGACGAGAUCGAGAGUUUAAAGGUCAC